GACGAACGCUGGCGGCGUGCUUAACACAUGCAAGUCGAACGGAAAGGCCCUGCUUUUGUGGGGUGCUCGAGUGGCGAACGGGUGAGUAACACGUGAGUAACCUGCCCUUGACUUUGGGAUAACUUCAGGAAACUGGGGCUAAUACCGGAUAGGAGCUCCUGCUGCAUGGUGGGGGUUGGAAAGUUUCGGCGGUUGGGGAUGGACUCGCGGCUUAUCAGCUUGUUGGUGGGGUAGUGGCUUACCAAGGCUUUGACGGGUAGCCGGCCUGAGAGGGUGACCGGCCACAUUGGGACUGAGAGACGGCCCAGACUCCUACGGGAGGCAGCAGUGGGGAAUAUUGCACAAUGGGCGGAAGCCUGAUGCAGCAACGCCGCGUGCGGGAGGACGGCCUUCGGGUUGUAAACCGCUGUCGCCGGUGAGGAAGCGUGAGUGACGGUAAUGGGUAAAGAAGCACCGGCUAACUACGUG
rnacentral:rRNA from 1 species